GAUGAAGAACGUAGCGAAAUGCGAUAAGUAAUGUGAAUUGCAGAAUUCAGUGAAUCAUCGAAUCUUUGAACGCACCUUGCGCUCCUUGGUAUUCCGAGGAGCAUGCCUGUUUGAGUGUCAUUAAUAUAUCAACCUCUUCAGCUUAUGCUUGUUGAGUGUUGGAUGGUGGGGGUUUGCUGGUGUCUUAUGAAGUCAGCUCCUCUGAAAUGCAUUAGCGGAACAAUUUGUUGACCGUUCAUUGGUGUGAUAAAAAUAUCUACGCUAUUGACGUCAGUCAGUUCAGCUUCUAACAGUCCAUUGACUUGGACAAAUUUUUCAUUAAUGUGACCUCAAAUCAGGUAGGACUACCCGCUGAACUUAAGCAUAUCAUAAGCGGAGGA
rnacentral:misc_RNA from 1 species